GAUGAACGCUGGCGGCGUGCCUAAUACAUGCAAGUCGAGCGAACAGAUAAGGAGCUUGCUCCUUUGAAGUUAGCGGCGGACGGGUGAGUAACACGUGGGUAACCUACCUAUAAGACUGGGAUAACUUCGGGAAACCGGAGCUAAUACCGGAUAACAUUUAGAACCGCAUGGUUCUAAAGUGAAAGAUGGUUUUGCUAUCACUUAUAGAUGGACCCGCGCCGUAUUAGCUAGUUGGUAAGGUAACGGCUUACCAAGGCGACGAUACGUAGCCGACCUGAGAGGGUGAUCGGCCACACUGGAACUGAGACACGGUCCAGACUCCUACGGGAGGCAGCAGUAGGGAAUCUUCCACAAUGGGCGAAAGCCUGACGGAGCAACGCCGCGUGAGUGAUGAAGGGUUUCGGCUCGUAAAACUCUGUUAUUAGGGAAGAACAAAUGUGUAAGUAACUGUGCACAUCUUGACGGUACCUAAUCAGAAAGCCACGGCUAACUACGUG
rnacentral:rRNA from 1 species